rnacentral:misc_RNA from 1 species
CGAAAUGCGAUAAGUAAUGUGAAUUGCAGAAUUCAGUGAAUCAUCGAAUCUUUGAACGCACCUUGCGCUCCUUGGUAUUCCUUGGAGCAUGCCUGUUUGAGUAUCAUGAAAUCUUCAAAGUAAAUCUUUUGUUAACUCAAUUGGUUUCUACUUUGGUAUUGGAGGUCUUUGCAGCUUCACACCUGCUCCUCUUUGUUCAUUAGCUGGAUCUCAGUGUUAUGCUUGGUUCCACUCGGCGUGAUAAGUUAUCUAUCGCUGAGGACACUGUAAAAGGUGGCCAAGGUAAAUGCAGAUGAAACGCUUCUAAUAGUCCAUUGACUUGGACAAUACUUUUAUGAUCUGAUCUCAAAUCAGGUAGGACUACCCGCUGAACUUAAGC